rnacentral:pre_miRNA from 1 species
AUAAAGGGCCUGAUCCAAAGCCCAUUAAAAUCAAUGGAAAGACUCCCACUGACUUCAAUGGGCUUUGGGUCAGGUCCUAAU